rnacentral:lncRNA from 1 species
GCCCUUUCGUCAUUUGACUAAGUGCUGCUUGCACUUGCCUUUGAAUCUCUGCCUGCAUCCAUUCUUCACGAGCUUUCUCGCGCUCUUGUGACUGCAGAACAAAAGCUUCCAGGCGGCGGAUUCGCUCUGCCUCCUCAUCCUUCUUUCUCUGGCGGCUUCUGUAGGUAUCUUGAUCGGCUUGGAAUGAUUGCAGCCACGGAACUGCCCCAUAGCCUCUCGUACGGCCACCGUGCUCAGGAUUUUCAAGCGCAUAGGUGAGUUCAUCCUUCUCCCUGUUAGGCCUGAACUCACCAGACUAAACCGUCUCUCGUGCACGGACUAGUCUCUCUGCUGCUCUAGAGAUUUCUUGGCCCCAAACUAGCGCCCCGGUGUCUGGGUCCACGCUUCCCCCAUGACCGUAGAACCAAUGCUUGGAGCGCUCGCUUCAAUUCUUUGCUAUUGUCUCGGGUGUGACCCCCCUAGCAAGCAUCUCCUGUUCCAUUCGGUCCCACUUGGGAACAGCACUCUUAUAACCACCUGAUCCCAUAUGAUGGUGGUAUGUCUUUUUACUGGCAUUCUCUUUGUUUCUAUUGGCUCGUUCCUCGCCCUCUUCUGAAGUUUUGUACUGCACAAAGUCAUCCCAGAAGGCCCUCAGCUUUACAUAUUGCUUGAGGUUGAAAUUUGGAGUCUCGUUUUUUUUGACAUAUUUAUUGUACAAAGUCUUCUUCCAAUUCUGGAAGAGUACUGCCAUCUUCUUCAUAGUCCAGUCAUAAAUUCGCACCUUCAACUCUUCAUCGUUGGUGUCGAAGGUGAAAACGUCUGUGACGGCUUUCCAAACUAACUCCUUGUCACGAUCAGAGACAAAACUGAUCUCAAGAGCACCUCGCUUCUCUCUCCAUUCACGAGCACUGAUCGGUAUUUGAUCUCUCACAAGAUAUCCACAGUGACUAACAUAUUUAUUUGCAUGCUCACCAAGUGGUCUACCUGUAGCUAUCUCAAACUCAGAGAUUACAUAGCGGCCCUCCAACGGCUUCUUUGGCCCUCGUGGAGGUACGCUUCUCCCCGUAGAGGUCGAUCCAGAAGGCUACACGUAGAUAUAGAAACAAAAAUAUUAAAUUAAUAACCAAGUAAUAAGUCCAAAACCUAAUGUAAGAGAUGCAUUAAUUAUAUAUGUUUACAUUUACAUAUACCUCGCCAGUAUUUUCUUCUUGUUGCACGACAAGUUGUUGCUCAGGCGCAUUGCCCUCUUGUUGCUCAGUCGGAUUGCCUUGCAUGAUCUCGUGGUAAUCAAUAAAGUACUGACUACCGUCGUCGAUCAUAUUUUGAAUGGUAGCUUCCAUAUAAUCAGGAUCAUCAUGAGGACGGUCAGCCAUUUCUAUGUCUGCAACCAUACAUAUAUAUAUUCUAUAUAAGAUAAGAAAUACACUAGAAUAAUAGUACAAACAAUAAUAUAUACAAAACACUACUAGAAUAAAUUUGGUGGGUAAACACUACUAGAAUAUAUAUUAGAGACUUAUAUACUACUACUAGUACUACUACAAAUGAAAGUGUUGGAGUGCUCUAAAAAUAAUACUAGAAUCUUUUAAGCCAAGUAACACAUUAGAAUAAAAAACAAUACUAAAAUAAUAUAGUACAAACAAUAAUAUAUACAAAACCCUACUAGAAUAAAUUUGGUGGCUAAACACUACUAGAAUAUAUAUUAGAGACUUAUAUACUACUACUAGUACUACUACAAAUGAAAGUGUUGGAGUGCUCUAAAAAUAAUACUAGAAUCUUUUAAGCCAAGUAAUACACUAGAAUAAAAAACAAUACUAGAAUAAUAUAGUACAACAAUAAUAUAUACAAAACACUAGAAAAUAAAAUAUGAUACUAUAAAUAAUAUACAACAAAUAUAUACUAAAAAAUACUACUACAAAUAAUAUAUUAAAAAAAUAAUACAUACAUACAUACAUAAAAAAAAA